UCGGGAAUUUUGGGUAAUGGGGGAAACCCUGACCCAGCAACGCCGCGUGAAGGAUGAAGUAUUUCGGUAUGUAAACUUCGAAAGAAUAGGAAGAAUAAAUGACGGUACUAUUUAUAAGGUCCGGCUAACUACGUGCCAGCAGCCGCGGUAAUACGUAGGGACCAAGCGUUGUUCGGAUUUACUGGGCGUAAAGGGCGCGUAGGCGGCAUGACAAGUCACUUGUGAAAUCUCUGGGCUUAACCCAGAACGGCCAAGUGAUACUGUCGCGCUAGAGUGCAGAAGGGGCAAUCGGAAUUCUUGGUGUAGCGGUGAAAUGCGUAGAUAUCAAGAGGAACACCUGAGGUGAAGACGGGUUGCUGGGCUGACACUGACGCUGAGGCGCGAAAGCCAGGGGAGCAAACGGGGAUUAGAUACCCAAGUAGUCCCUGAGCGGGCUGGCAAGGCGCAU
rnacentral:rRNA from 1 species